AUGAGAUACCCAAGUUGGAUGUUGUGUGGGCAGAAUGUUGGACCCAAAAACUUAGAAAAACUUUGGCUUAAUGGAUGUGAUCGAUUGGGGCCUACUCCCAAUCUUUUUGGGUUUUUCAUUCAUCUUCAUGAGCUCUACAUCCAGGGUUGCAGCUGGGACACCUUGCCAAACAAUGUGAAUGACCUCGGGUCACUCAAGAUCUUAAAGUUUUGUCUUUGCUCUCGUCUCGAAUCACUGCCAAGACUACCCUGGUCUCUUAAGCUGUUUGAAGCGGUGGCUUGCGACAAAGUGUUCAUGAGCUCAUGCAAGAAAAUAGGCCAUCCAAACUGGCAAAAGCUUCAACAUGUGGAUGAUGUUCGAGUUAUUGAAGACGUUUCCCCAUUGACAAUGACAACUUUAGAGGAAUCAUAUUGUAUGGGCUGA
rnacentral:rRNA from 1 species